GCCGGCGGCAGGUCAGUGCAGGCGGCUGUUGUGGGGGCGCCUGGCCGCGCCUUCUUCGUACCUCUCAGCGCCGGGCGCGCUGCCUUUCCUCGGAAAGUUUUGGCUGCGUCGGGCAAAAGCGUAAGAGCCGCUUCUUCCUCGCUUGGACUCGGCGGGUGGGAAAUUCCCGCGUCCUCCGCAUCUCUCUCUCUUUCUCUCUCUCUCCCCCCCCCCCCGGUGUUAUCUCCUCCUCGCUUGUUUCAGGCGGGCGCGGAGUUCAUCAUUUCUCAUGUCUCUAAAUAGGUCAGUGUCUGCAAACCGUGUCAGGUUUGCAGAGCCCACGGGUGUGUCGCUGAAAGGUAGGAGAACUUAAGGGGGAGAACAGAAGAAGCAUGGGAUUUAUAGCGGCGUGGGGGGGGAGGCAGGACACCCACCUGUCAUCUUCCUCUAUCUGGCUCUGCCUAGCCGAUUGGGAAGGAAAGGUCUCAACAACAAUUGUUUAAAAUUACUUCCUUUUGACCCCGAGUGAUCAGGAAAAAAACCUGUCAAAAUCUUUCUACAAAUUCUACUUUUAGUUAACUAUUUUUAUUUAUUUGCUUGAUUUUUUGGAGAGGCAGCUGCCCCCUGCCCCCCUGGCCACACCCAUGGGGAGAAAAGUGUGUGUGUGUGUUUGGUUUACAAAAGAGAGAGAGACAUCUUUGCUUAGAGGUUUCUUGUAGACUUUGGUUUUCAUGUUGAAGGAGAGAGAGUUCCUUUUGGCAGACCUCUUAGCCUCACUUGACUCCUAGCGCUUUUUUUUUUUUUAAAGCUCUGGUUGUUCUUGGAAGGAGGAAUUUCCUUCGUAAAUGAGGAAUUAGCCUACUUUGAGGAAUCAUCCUUGAUGAUCUAAUUACAGAGCAGAGAUGUGUGUGUGUGUUUGAGGUUUGAAGCUUUCGCAGAGAGGAAGGUGCACGUAGUUGCCGGACCACAGGCUAUGGGUCUUGAUGCCGGGGCUGGUCCAAGACAUUUUGGCACCUGAGGCGGACCCCCAAAUGGAACCCCCUCUCCGCCAGUGAAGAAGGGGUCAGGGAAGAUCUACAUCAGGAACAAGGUAGUGUGUGUUGGGUGGAGAGAUUGACAGCAGGAUCUGCUGCCUUGGUUGACCCUGCUGCCUGAGGCGUUUGUCUCACCUUGCCUCAUGGGUGGGCCGGCCCUGCCUUGUGCUUUAGCCGUCGAUUUCAAGGGGCAUAAUGGUAAAGAAGAAUGUGAUAUCUUGCUACCAAGUGCGCUUUCUCUGGAGGAGGAUUUCUCAGAAACACGUGGCUCUCAGUAAAGGAACAAAUCAAAAAGUGGAAGCUUGUUGCUGUUUAUUAUGCUUUCAAUAAGUUUUUUUUUAAAUGCCCAUGAGCAUAAGAGAUUUCAGAAACAGCUGAUGCAGCAGCAAGCUCUGUGCAGGAUUAUUCCGCAAUAGUGCCUUCUCAUCUACCAAGAUGCACUAAUUCGCAAAUGAUGCCAGCAGCAACAACAAAAAGUUAUUUCUCACCAACCACCCUAGCUGUGUCGUCAAGAAAAGUCUGAAGGUUAUGGAGGAUUUGUAACCUUAUAAUCAAUUCAAUAGAGGGAACAUGGGAAGGCAGCCAGCUGUUGACAAAAUAAGUUCAGGAUAAAUUUAGAAAUAUUUAUCUCUUGCUGAAACUGAUGCAUUUUUAUUUUAACUUUCUCUUUGAUGUCUCAUGGCUUAUAAAUAAAAAACGAAGAAUAAAAUAGUGAGCUGCUGUUAUCAGGAUUGUAAGAUACAUGCACUCGUGGCAAACAUCAUUACUGAUUUAUCUAAGAAUACAUUUACACUGACUUGGUUUAUAAAAUGUAAUGUUUAGCAUAAGGUGUUUGCAUAUCAGGUGCGUGUUGAUUUGGAGGUGAGACAUCAUUGGGAAACGCAGCACUCCCAGUGUGAGGGCUCCGGGACUAGAAGGGAAUGCUCUGGCGAGAAGCUCAAAUAAUUGGAUAAAAGGUAGUACAGCAUGCUGUCCCUGGAUCCCUGCUUAGGAAACAUCUGGCUAGUAAGCAAUUGCAACACAUGGUCUUCCGGACUCCACUUUAGUUAAUUGCUCAAAGAAAGAGUACACGAGCUUCUCCCUUUUAGUUAAUAGAACUCCUUCAGAGCUGUAAAUUAAUGAGGAGAGGGUCUCUAACAUACUGCCCAUCUCCUAGUCUUUGGCCGGUGUAAUCAUGCAAUUGUGGAAAGGUUGUUUGCUUAGCAAUAGCUGUACCAUCAAUGUCCAGGAUAGAUUACAGUGAUUUUUGUUCUCAUAAAAUGCAAAUUCCUGUUUCAAAGGGUGCGAGGAAAUAACUUUGUCAGAAAUAUACGGGGACUUUACACAGCUGUUUAGUAGGACUCUCCAAAUUUAAAAAGGUAAAAUGUAUGAAUUCACACAAUUAUGCUGAUAGCAAGCAUUUCAUGCCUAUGGCGCAAGGUCAGACAACAUUAAUGUUUACAUUUUCCAGAUAGCUAUAUUAUUAGAAUGAAGAAAUGGGAAAAUUGAGUUGAAAAAGUGUACUGAUAUGAUAGUAACUAUGGAGGUCAAGUGGGUUGUCUGACUAGACUAGACCAUGUACCUUGUUGAGUUAUUAAACAUAAAAGUGUCUUGCCUUUAGUGUGGGUAGGGAAUAAAUAUUUCAAAUAUUUUAAAUAUUUCAGAUAUUAAGGUGGUGCUGACCUGCAGUUGGUAACAAUUUGCUAUCCUCUCCUGUGCAUUCUCUUAUCAGAGAUAGGUAGUUUAGCUAUCAUUCCCAUCUAUUUCUCAGGAGUGAGAGCUGUUCAUUAAUUAGGCCAGGUGUGGGGAAACUUUGGUCCUCCACAACUUGCUGAACAACAACACCAGAGGGUAGCUCAGUUGUUGGAGCAUGAGACUCUUAAUCUCAGCGUCAUGGGUUUGACCCACCGUUGGGUGAGAUUCCUGCAUUGCAGGGGGUUGAACUAGAUGAUCCUUGUGGUCCCUUCCAAUUCUAUUAUUCUACCUUCUAUCCAACUCUCCUCAUCCCUGGCCAUUAGCCAUGCUUGUUGGGACUGAUUCAGACCUGUAGUUCAGCAACAUCUGGCGGGCCAAAGCUGAUGUCAACCAAACAGAUCCAUCUAAGCACAAGAGAGAGGUAUCAUCAGGUUUACGAGAGCCCUGACAUGUAUACAAUUACAUAAACAUUUAAAAUUAAAAUUGCAGGGCAAAAACCCCAACACAAGGGAAAAGAGAGAGAGAGAGCCCAUGUGUGCAGUUGCAUGGAAGAAAGCAAAGGGAAAGAAGGAAGGAAGGGACACAGGAACAAUAAUCUCUCCUCAAGUGGUGUGACUUUCCUCAUAUGGGCAACCACCCUGCCUGAGAAGGGGUGGCUUUGAAGCUGCAGAUCAGGCCAGCUAACAGCUUCAAAGGUUUUUCUUCCUCGAGCAGCAUUUUGUUUUGCUUCCUCACUUGCUUAUAAUUAAAAGUACCAUAGCAAGCAAGAUAGUUUCUGAAAAUAAAUGUUCACUUCUUGAAUAUAAAAAUAUCAUUUGCUGUUUGCACCCUUUCUCCCUGAGAAUAAAGGAAUAUAUUGACUCAUAGGCACUUUAUGUCCUUUUAGUUCCAAACUCUCUCUCCCCCCCUCUAAUUUUAACAGUUUUACGCACAUUUAUUUCCCACCCUUCUUUUCCAUUUCCCAUGACUAAUGAAGGCAAAUAAUGAAAACGGCCUGAGAGAUGCUGUGGUAGAUGACUUAAGCAAAGUUUUAGAAGGGAGAGAAAUACACAAACACACACACACACACACACUGCAUGAGAAUUCAUCUCUCUUAAGGAGUUUCAAGGAUUUCCUAUCAAUGCCGCAGCUUUUCAGUCAGCAAAUUGACCAGGAAUUGUGCCGUUUUAAACAUUAUAAGGUCUGAUUCCGUAAUGCAGUUUUGCCUAGCAUCAGUUUUAUCUGAGUCUACUUUACAAAGCAGGUGAGGCUCUUCAUCUUUGAGAAAUUAGCUGGUGCCAGCAUGUAAUUGGGUACGGAAGUUCAGUAGAAGGUUAUCCCUAACAUACUCUAGUUAAGUUGCAAAGAUCAGGCCAGCGUUAUUUAUUCAGAAGAAAAGAAAGGUGUCACAGUCUCAGCAUCAUUUUCAUGCUUAAGUUCCCUUGUACUUGUGUGGCACCUUGCAGGCAGGAUGCAUUUAACUCGACUAGUGAGCUUUCUUCCGUUGAUAGAAAAGGUCUACUGUUGAUAAAGCUGCAUCUCCUAUAUUUUUCUUAAGCAUUCUAAGGAAUGCAAUAAUUUGCUAUUGAGAUUAUAAUAGUAAAAUCAAAUAAUGCUGUAUUGUGGUUGACAUACACUGAGAAGCAUAUUGAAGAUUGUGCUGAACCCUCUUUUUUCUUAUGAUUGAAGGUGGCUAACAAUAUGCAAGAAAACAUCAAACAUUCAUUAAAAAGACACAGAUCCAGAAUAUUAUAUAAACUAAACUAUUGAGAAUUGAAAGUUUUCCUGAAGAGUGGGUGGGUGGAGGCUAUAAAGAGCUUUAUUUUGCAAAAAUAAAAUAAAAUGGUAAUUUCAAUAGAUGCGCAUUGAAGUGUAUUGUGUUCUUCAUUCUCUAAGUGACAUUGCUGGGUUCUUUUCAGUGGCAACCCAAAUGGAGCAGCUCACUGCAGUAAAUAGUUGAGGCUACAAAAACGUCGGUGACAACUACAAAACCCUUAUAACUCCCAGAAACCCUAGCGCCUCUCUCAGCAGAUGCAGACAAUUAGAUAAUAAAAAAGCUUUCAUCUCUCUUGUACUGGAUGUCCAGUGAAAACAUAAUGUUGGAGAUGGUAAGAGCAGUUUGACAAUAGCUAAAGGAGGGGCGGGUUUAUACUUCCUCAUAACUAAACGAAUUUAUUUAUUUACAACAUUUUGUGUGCCGCUCAGUAACAGUGUUCUCUGGAAGGCUUACAACGAUAAAACAUUAAGGUAUAAUAACAACCAAUAAAGCAAUAAAAAGCAACAUAAAAUUUCAGUAACAGCAAGUAAGUUGGCAUAAUAAAGUACAUGGAGGUCUAUAUUCAGUUGGUUAAGGUCCAAAAAGCCUGGGUUUUUUGUGGGGGGAGGGGUGGGGGUUUUCACCUGGUACUGAGAAGAGUAUAAAGAGCCACUUUCGGAGGACACACUAUACUUGUGCGGAUGCCUGAUUAUCGUCUUCCAAAGCAACUACUCUAUUCCAAACUUAAAAACGGAAAGCGUAAUGUUGGUGGUCAACAAAGGAGGUUUAAAGACUCUCAAGGCAAUUCUAAAAAAAAUGUAGUAUAAACACUGACAACUGGGAAACACUGGCCUGCGAGCGCUCCAGUUGGAGAACAGCCUUUACCAAAGGUGUCAUGGGCUUUGAAGACACUCGAACUCAGGAUGAAAGGGAGAAACAUGCUAAGAAGAAGGCACACUUGGCAAACCCUCACCAUGAUCAAUUCCUGCUUGGAAACCUAUGUCCCCACUGUGGAAGGAUGUGUGGAUCCAGAACUGGCCUCCACAGUCACUUACGGACCCACUGUUAAAACCCUGUUUUCGAAGACAAUCUUACUCAGCUACGAGUGAUUGCCAAAGAAGAAGAUACAUGGGGUGUCAUUACGCAUAUGAAAACCCUUUCCCCAGGGUCCACCUCACCUGACAUGCAUGCUCAGAGCAGGGACUCCAGCAGUGAUCUCAGAGUCUCAGAGAUGCCCAGGAGAAAAACGGAUAAAUGGGGGUGAUGUACCCCCCCCCCCCAGUUUUCCAGGUUUCUUCCUCGUCUUCCCCCAACCUUCACAUCUCCAGUCUGGAUAGGUACAUGAGGGAGCAAAUGAUCCUUCAUGUAGCUUGGGUGUAGGGUUCUGCUUGCUUAUUCAGCAAGAGGGAGUAGAAGAAGAAAAAACGCUGUUAUCCAAGGCUAUGACUCCUCUUCACCGCUUAUGGAUCACUCAUAGCGUGCAUUCAACUUUAAACACUGAAAAGUUCCUACAGUUCUGUAACAUGCCAUAGUUACACAUACGAUGCACAAAAGCUUUUAUUUGCUGCCUUCAUCUAUUUAAGUAUUGCAAUCUGACAUUGAUUCCAGAUUGGCACUGCUGCUCCCAAAGUGUUGUGGGUGUGGUAUAGAUCUGAGGCUCAUCAGCAUAUUGAUGCUCUCUCUCUCAAAAUCUUCAGCUGGUCUCCAAGUUGUGCAUUAGUACAGUUUUCCAUUAGUACAGUGGUACCUCGGUUUACGAACAGUCCUGUUUAUGAACUAUUAGGUUUACAGACUCCGCAAAACCAGAAGUAGUGUUCCGGUUUGCGAACUUUACCUCAGUCUACGAACGGAAGCCAAACGAUGGAUGGGCACCGGCGGCAGGAGGCCUCAUUAGGGAAAGCACGCCUCAGUUUAAGAACAGAUUUGGUUUAAGAACAGACUUCAGGAACGGAUUAAGUUCGUAAACCGAGGUACCACUGUACUAAGAAAAGCAUCAGGUCAGUUCCUGUGGGACAGAUAUAUAAUUUUAAUGUAUUUUUAAUCUCUUGUUGGAAGCCACCCAGAGUGGCUGGGAAAACCCAGCCAGAUGGGUGGGGUACAAAUAAUAAAUUAUUAUUAUAUUAUUAUUAUAAUCACCCAUCGCUACUGUCUGCUACAAAGUACCUGAUUACAAAUGUAGACACCGAACCUAUGAAGCACAUUUGAGCCACAUUCUUCCCAUCAAAGUAUUCUGGGCACCGCAGUUUGUUAAGGGUUCCUGUGAAUUGUAACUGUGAGGGUUAAAUUGCAGUGCCCAGAAUUCUUUUUGGGGGAAAGAAUGUGUUUGAAAUGUGCUUUAAAGUUAGAGUGUGUACACAGCCCACGUGAAAUACCUUGCUGAAGACUAUGCACCAGAUUAUAUGUUAUGUGUAAAAUUUGGUUUUACAGUGAAGUUUAUUUGGUCCUGUGGGUAAUGGCGUAAAAGACUCUUUUGAUAAUUAACUAGCCAGAGGACUGCCAUCCUCAAAUCUUUUUGGUUUUGUAAGAGGGCUUCCUUUAUGGAAUCACUAUCUCAUUCCAUUUGGGGUUACUGGGUUGGUGUUCUCAUUACAGUGCUAGAAUGUGUGUGGAAGGUUGAAAGAAUUACAAUAACCUCACAGUUGUGGGUGAUGCCAGGCAAAUAUCUCAUUGGCUUGACAUAAAUUUAUAAUUUAUUUCUAGCUUGGUUGUUUCUUUGAGCCAAAGCUGAUGCAUAACUGACCAUACAUUGCCAUAUGUGGUUUUCUCCCCCAUUUUUAAUACACAAUCCAGUCAGUUAAGCACUUUUUUGAUAAGUUUUCAAUUACAAUAAUCCAAUAAUAGCCACAUUAUUUAUAACAAUGCCAAAUUAUAAUACCGUUACCAAUACCAAUCAUUCAAAUGCCAAAUUAUAUAAUUUAGGUGGCCCCCCCACAUGCUAGAAUUGAUGGUUUGAUGAUUUGCUUUAUUUCUGUGUUCCAAAAUCUUAUUAAUUUCAAUUACACUCCAGUCAAAAUAGCAAUCCCUUAUACAACAACUGCAAUAUUAACGAUUUCCAAUCGUAUUGACACAUUAAACAAAUGAUUUAUAAAGCUACAGGUGAAGCAUUCAAACUAUAUCCUUGCUCUUCCUGUGUGCGGCAAUUAUUCUGUCCGUUAUGUUUCUUUCUGUCCUUGUAAAAUAUUAAUGUAUUUUUUCCUGGUUGUUGCUGUUCUCAUUCAUGUCUUGGGCGGAGCUAAUAUCCCAUUAUUGUUUCAGAAGUUCUCCAUAGUUAAGCACUUUUUAGUGAUGUUCACUGAAGAGAAGAUUUAGUUCUUAGCAUCCUGGUAGGCUUGUAUGGGAGAAAGUGUUCCUUCAGACUCUAAAUUGUUUAUGGCUUUAUAAAUCAGCAGAAGAACCUUAAAUCUAGCUUGGUAGCAAAGUGGUAGCCAGUGCAAUUCUUUCAAAAUUGGGGUGACACAAUCUUGGUAGGCUCAUCAGCUUCUGAACCAAUCUUAAGAACAGCCCCACGUUAAAGGAGUUACACUAAUCCAGUUUUGAAGUUACCAAAACAUGAACCACUGCGGUGAUGCCCAUUGUUCCUGUCAGCUGAAGCUGGCAAAAGGUACUCCUAGCCACCAUGAUCCACAGCAACAGUGAUGAACCAAGAAGCACCCCCAGACUAUGACCUGCUCCUUUAAAAGGACUGCAACCAGGUUCAGAACAUGUAACCUAUCUAGUUUUCAGACAUGGGAACAACCAACCAACAAGGUUUCCAUUUUGCCGGGAUUCACCUUCAGCUUGUGGGUCCUCAUCCAACUCACAGCUGCAUCCAACAUUGGUCCAGGAUCUAUAUAACCACAUCUAAUACAGAUGUAACAGAGAAAUAGAACUGAGAGACAUCUUGCUCCAAAUCGUGAAAUGGCUUUAUAUGGAAACAUAGGAGCCAACUCCUAGGGACUGAGGUCCCUUCAGCCCCUCCGAUAAAAUAUUUGAGGGCGCCAGCCCCGUCCCCUGUUGAUGGCCAUUGCCAUUCAAAUGGUGUGUAUGUGCCACGUCUUGUGAUUGAUAGGCAGGGCUUACCUCCCCCCAACCCCAGUAUCUUAUUCAAGUUGUUGGGACAAGAAGAUGGAAUCCUGCAGCACCUCCAGCAUAAUUGCGUGGGGACUGAGGUACCAUCUUCGCACUCCCAACCCACAAAGCCACUCUGCUAAGAUACCAUGAAUUGAUGGUAUCAAAAUCCAGAGAGAAAUCCAGAAUAAGCAGCAGGGUUACACUCUUCCACUCUUGAUAAAGGCCCAACCAGCAGCACGGUCAGGACCAUCUCAAAUCAGGCCUCAACCCAGACUGGAAUGGGUUCACAUAAUACAUUUCCUUCAAUAGUGCUUUUGGAUGGGCAUCUCAAACGCCUUCCCACCACAAAGGGGAUAUUUGUGACCAGGCAGUAGUUACUAUCACAGACCUCCAGGUCCAGAGCAGAGCGGCUGUCGCUUCUCCUUCAUGAAAGGAUGCAUUUUUUCCAUGCUCUGGUUAAUCCCCCCCGCCAAAAAAAACUUACUCAAAUCAGCCACGAUUGGCAUGAGUUGAGAGGGCAUGUAAUCGGCUGAACAGUUAGGAGCAUAUCCUCAGGCUUCAAGAGCUGAAACUGAUCCCAUAACACCAGACUAGAUGCCGUGUUGCACGGUUUAUCUAGAACUGCCACAACAGUGGCCUCAGAGUCAAUACAGAGAUGUGGAACUUCUGUCCUCAAAGUAUUCCUUACAAGCUUGUCACAGCAGGCUAAAGACUCUGACAUCAGUUGCCUUGAUGUUUAAUUUUGUUUGGCUGGGCAUGGUAAAAUUGCAUUUGAACUGAGCUCUGUACCUAAGUAUAUCUACCUGGCAGUAGCAAAUGACAGUUUCCUUUAAAAAUAGGAAAGUGUAUAAAUUCUAAUUUCACAGUAUCUAAGGGAUGGAAGAGCAAUGGAGUCAUAAGGCCUUUCUAUAACCUUUGAUGUAUCUAUCCACGAUUGAAAAAAGGAGAGAACAAAACUCGUGGUAUCUUAAUGCCUGACCAUUGAGUACUUUCUCCCAUAAUAUUUUAAGACAUGUGUGUUCAUGGAUGCUUGGGUAAUUAUGAUUAGGGUUUAAUAUUAUAAAAAUGUCAUGUAGUAACUACCUAAUAAUUUUACAGAGAACUGCUUGUGUUUCUGCAUACCACAGAAUGUGCUUUAUUAAGCUAAACAUAAUAAUCCUGAAUCCAAUUAAUCAAAUGCACUAACUUUCAUUUUGUUAUUGGCUUCUUUCCUGUGCCAUGAACUUUUUUCAUCUGAAUUCCUGACACGAUUGUUGUUUAAUCUCAGAAGAAGUUACAAUUUAUUGAACUUUUAGCAUGCACACUUAAAAGAGUUGUUAUACAUUCUGCACAGAGUUGUGAUUUUUCUUAUGCAUCAGCUGAAAAACUGACAGUGUCUUCUAUAAACAACAUAUUAAUUGACAUGUUAAAAAUGCAUUAGAGAACUUGAGCUGCUGAGGUUUGUAGAUACACAGCGCUUGGAUACCAAUCUGAGCACUUCAGUUCCACCAAUUAGCAUUGCUGCUAGCUUUAUAACAAUUGUCUACCAAGGAAACUUCUUUAGGUGUUAAGCAUUGCUAAUAAUUUAUCAUUAAGAUGAUAAAGUCCUCUUCUGCGUUAUGCUAUUUAAGUGACAAUUCAUUGAAGCUAUUUGGUCUGCUCUGAUGAUGACACAGCUAAAGCAUACAAUUUUCUAUGUAAAAUAAAAAUGCAUAUGUGUGCAAGGAAUAUGCAACAACAAAAUUAAUACAAAUAGCAAAAGAAAAAUGAAUGAAAAGAAAAACUCAAUGCUGAAAUGCCUGGGUAUGUCUUACAAUAAUCAGUUCUCAUCAGUCAUAUCAUUCUGUUGUUCUUGGUUUCUAUGCAGGAGCUACAUCUUUUCUCCUAAGCCGUAUUACAUGGCGAUAGACGAAGGGAAAUCAAAACUGGCAGGAAACUUGCAGUCUUUACUGAAACAAAUAUAGAAACCAUCAGGCAGGAUUCAACUAAGUUGCUGUGUGCCUGGAGCAAGAUCUGCUUUUGCAAUGAGACUUCACCUUCUCUCCUCUUUCUGUGCCCUCCCACUGUCACCCCUAAAUCUGGUCCGGAGAGUUGGGGGGAAGGGACCAGGAGUCUGACUGCAUGAGCAAACCUUACAUGCACACCCCAUUUAGCGCUAUGUUGAAUUCCACCCUGUAUUAUUAAAUAUUCUUUAGGAGGGCCUAAAGCUACAGAUCAUGGAGGAUAAUGUAUGCUGAAGUAUAGUUCUUUUGCAAGAAGUGGGCAGUGCUUUUUCUUUCUCAGUGCUUCAGUUUAUUUCAGGAGAGGAUUGUAUGUCCACAUAUAAUAAUGUAUCACUCAACCUUUCAGUUAAUUCAGUGAUCCAGUGAGCAGACUCAAUAUAAAAUACACAAAUCUGUUAACUAUUUAAAAUUACAGAAGGCGUACUUUCACAGUGCUUGUCUGAAACCAGGAGUAUUACUACUUUCUGCAUUAUGUGGAAACUUGUUUGGGCUGGGUGGGUGAGUGAAUGAAUAGAAUACAGUUUUCUUGAAUUUCUGGUGUAUUAAUGCACAGCUGAAAGGAGGGGUAUGCCCAUCCCCCAAAAAAUUCUUAAAACAGCAAGCCAGCAAUGUGAACAAGUCCUUGGAUAAUUUGUUUUUAGUUACCAAACUGGCUAUGUUGCCUCAAAUGAAAGCUGAGAUUAUCGGUAUUGUCCAAUAGAUGUCUCAGAUGAUCUCAGCUUUCACCCAUGUGUCAAAAUGCAUCCGCCCCUCACUCAGAGAAUUAUCUUCUGGAGGCCCUGAAAGGGAGGUAGCUCUGGUACUAUGCCAUGUGUUCAUAACAGAACUGGACUGGAGACAAGGCACUGAGACAGGAAUUAGAGGUGGGAAGAGAUUGCAAGGCAUGUACCUAGGAAGGAAGGAACUGAGUAAAUAUGCAAGUAUUUAGUUCAAGGAGGGCAGUGGUGGAUUCUGUAGAUGUUGAUGGCACAAGAAGAGACUAUAAUCGACUAGGAAAAAAGAGAUUAGUGGUGACAUGAGAAUAAAUAGGGUGAGUGGUCUGUUGUUUAAAUCAGGCUGUGAGUAGAUUAAUGAACUGUGUAAGGUCAGUGGCGGUGUCAAAAAUUUUUUUAAUCCCCACCCCCUCCCUUGUUAUAUGUCCCAUUUCUCUUCUGCUACUUUUAAUACUUUUAUAUGUAUUAUAUUUGGUUUCUCUUCAGCCCCACCCCAUCUUUAAGUUCAGUUCUCCAUAUUUCCACAUCAGUUUGCAAUUGUUUUAUGUUUUAGAAGUUAUAAUGAAACUGGCCAGCAUUUUGGUAAAUUUCCCUCCGUAACAUGCACAUUUCCCCUAAUAUACACACUUUUGCAAAGCAAUUUUCCUUAUAUACCUUUGCAUGUUGUUUUCACUGAUAUACGCAUUUAGAUGCACAUUUCAAACUAGUACAUGCAUUAUUUACCCAUUACUUGGUUGGAGAACUGCUUGCAACCCAUGUUUGGUACUGAAUUGCCUUUUUCAUACCAAACAGGAAAGAGCUGGAAUAGGUAUCCUGAGAGAAAUAAAAACACAUGAUAGACAACAGUUGGGGGGCGGGCGGGGGGCAGGAUAUGUUAGUUGGUGAAGGCUGAAGAGGAAUAUGCUGUAGGAAGAUCCAUAUUAUUCUAAGUCAACAGAGAGAGCCGCUUCCUUCUUGUAGAAGGCAAUCAUGCCAUAGCCUGUGGCUGUUCUUUUAGUAAUUCUCACCUGAAGUAGAUCGAAUUGGAAAUUUAGUUAUUAAUUCUGAAAGCAUGUAUCUUGUGGGUUUACCUGUGUGACUGUUUUAGGUUUGGCCAAGAACAACAGAAGGAGUAGAGGAGCUGGAAUUAGAAUAGCAGCAUGCAAGACCUUUUGGUAUAUCUACCACAAUUUAUGUCCCUCUGUAGUGAUGCAAUAUUGGAGAAAGAAGGCAAAGUUCCACUAUAGGUAUCAGGAUAUGUAAAUAGGAGGGAGAUGUCCACAAAUUAUAAAAAGGUUCUGCAUGCAGAGAGGCUGUAGCAAAUUCUCCCCAAUGUUUACUUGCUUGGCCUAAGGAAGGGAGUCAUUUCUAAGAAGCCAUGCUGCUUUGACAGCUAUUAUCCUGUUCAAAUCACUGAUGCAGUAGGAGAUACUGCAGAAUAAAUAUGAGUUUCAGAUUAGUCUGUUAAAUGCUCACUGCAAAAGUAUUUGGGUUAAGUGGGUGGUGAGCUGCCAAAACAGGCCUCCAGCCUUGCGAUAGCUGUUCAGAUACUGAUUCUGUGAAUACUGUAGCUGGUGUUUGUAUGCAUUUUCCCACCAGUUGGUGUAAACUCCUCAGUUUUAAAAGUACAGUUUUACACUGAGCUUUUCCCGUAUUUUUCUUUCACAGCUGGAGGGUUGUCUGGUUUAAAUAUACAAAAAAAACCUAAGAAGGGAGAGCAGGAGGGGCUGGAAGUACCUGGACUGAGCAGACACAGCUCACCUGAAUGCAGUCUUCCCCAUCAUGGCGAGAUGCAUUGCAUUUCUGUUUCAAAUUACUGUAUAAUAAUUCUUUCUAAAUUAGCAGCUAGACAUAUAAAGUAGCCCAUGCAAAUAUCCUGCGCCACAUUUGGUCCUCUUUUUCUCUUUGAAUGGUUAAAUGGCUGUUUACUAAUUAAGCAACAUGAGUUUUCUUUCCUUUUCCUUUUUUAUAAAAACCUAGACUCUGAUCAGGCAUUGAAGUAACAGCAAAACCAUAGGUGAAUGACCUAAUCAGACAGUGAAUCCACAAAGGAAUAAAUAUAAAUAUCAAUCUGACAUCCUCUCAGCCGGCUAUGGAAGCAUCUAUAACAAACUUACUGCUUCUCAGUAGAAAUGAAAGAAACUUCAAAAACGUUUAUUCACUGCAGAGACUUGUUACUGUGCUCGAUUGUGUCUCGUGAGAUAAGCGUUUUAAAAAAUUGUUUUUAUAAACAGACUAUAAGUUUUCACAACACUCAGCUUGGAGCUAUUAGCAAUUGUGAUGCCAUCUCAAAGGCUGGUAACUUUCAAUAUUAUUGGCACAUGAAGUUGAUAAGCAUUGGCACUGAUCAUGAGCAAUGCGGCUGCUUCUUAUUUUUUAAAUCCAAACUGCUGCUUCUUGAAAUAUUUUUCUAUGUGAAAUAUAUUAACAGCACAAGCGGAAGGCUAAAUUCUUGCUGCUAAUCUAUUAUAUUUUCUUCACCAAAGUGUAAAAUAUAAAUCACUUCCUUUGUUUUAGGAACAAUUUUCCUGUUCUUCAGUGACUCCUUCUCCCUGAGUGGACCUUUUUUCAUUGUAAUUACUGCUUCUUCUCAUAAUAUUAUAAGAAGAGCCAUACUGGAUACAGUCCUGAGAUGGAUUGGCACUUGCUGCAAUUAGCAUAUUACACAGUUGUUAUCACAGAGCUGCGCUGGCUUCAAGCGUCAUUUCAAACUCAUUUCAAAGAGCUAGUAUUGCUUUGCAAUACAUUAAAUGGCCUGGGUCCUGGUUACCUUUUCCUGUGUGAAACCUGCCUGUAUUCAUAAUCAGGGGCCCUUCUUCCAGGGUUUUCGAAUCAGAGAAUUGGAAGGGACCACAAUCGUCAUCAAGUCCACCCCCUGCAACGCAGGAAUCUUUUUUGCCCAGUGUAGGGUUCGAACCCAUGACCUGGGAUUAAGAGUCUCAUGCUCUGUUGACUGGCUAUCCUGCAAGCUGGAAGUUAAUCAGUUUGCCGCAGGAAGAGCCCUCCAGUUGUGGCCCUUUCAUUGUGAAAUCCCUUUACUUAACUCAGGAAACACCUGAUCUCCUUCAUGAGCCAGGUAAAAACUUUCUCUGGUUUUGUAGCCUUGUUUUACUGUUGCUGUUUCAUUGCAUGGAUUAUUGAUUUAUAUGUUUAUUUUAAAUCCCGUCUUUCUAGGUGGCUAACCCUAAUCCUAUUGGAAUGGGAAACACUUCCCUGUAGGUUCUGAACUGUAUUUUAUUUCGUGCAACAAAAACCUGGCUAUGGCUGAUGUGCUUUAUAUUGCCUGCUGCUUAAUGUAACUCUCCGCACAAGAAAACAUCCUUAACGCGGUGAUAUUUUUCUGUGAAAUACAGUGCAUUUCGGAUAUUUUUUUUUGUCAUGCAUAGCAAUUCAAAAUUAUAUGCUUAGCUGACCCUUUAAUUAGUUCUCAUUCUGCCUUACAUGAUUUAUAGCUUCAUGGUGCCUGUGUUAAAAAAAUGAUAUAUGGCUUAAUGAAGUGGAAAGCCAGUAUAAGCUCACACCUCCAGUUAAUUGGAGAUGCCAUGGUGUGCUGAGGGAGAAGGAAGUAGAAGUCAGCAUCUCCCGCAGAGAGGACAGAAUGGUCCAGCUUCUAGUGGUUUGAGAUACUGAGUCAUCUGUGCUCACAGUGUUUUUGUUCUUCUUUGUUUGUGUUUUUUUGUUUUUUGCUUUCUUAUAUAAAGCGGCCGGGGGGAUAAGGAGCAGAAUCCAAUGAUCUCUGAAUUCAGAACUGAGACCACCAGCAGUCCACUAUGUCACAGUGAUGAUGACAAAAGACAAUUUUCAGUUUCUGGAGGCUUUGUUGAAGUUCGGGAGCUAGAUGGACCUGCAGUUUGUUUCAGUGCAAGGGAGCUUUCUCUGUUUCUAAGCUGCUGCCUUAGUUACCUGACACAGCGGAAGCAGCGGUGGGGCAUCUGUAACUAAACCUGCAGCUGCACAUAUGCUUCCUCAUCCAAAAGAAUUAAUGUUCAGAUUGAACUGAGGGGUGCACUGUGCGGAGGUGUUGUUAGGUUUCUGCAUGCUCUGUAGAAUGGAGAUGUUUGUCAGUCAAUAUACUUUUGUUCUGGGCUGCAACUCAUGCUUGAGAGUCUCUUAGCACAUGGAACGCCUGCAAGUUUUAUAUGGUGCACAUGGUGAGCAGGGCUGGGCGAUAUCUGGUUUUCAGCAUUGUGAUAGAUCACCAGCUAAACAUUGUGAUGUACCAAUAUAUUACAGUGUCUGAAAUAAGGACGGAGCUAUGUUGAGGAGUUGGCUGGCUUCACGGUUUCCCCUGCAUCAUGAUUUUUUUGUAUAACACACACACUGGGGCUUGGCAAUGUGUUGGUACAGUACAUUGUCAAAAAUCAGCUUGAAUCCACAUUAUGAUAACAGUUUUAUAAUAUUCAACACGGCGAUGAAUUGUGGAUCACGACAUGUGUUUGUUCUGUGUAAGAAUUUGUGAUGUGGGAAAAGCCAUGAAGCCAGUGAUCGCUUCUCUCAAGAUUCCUUCUCACCCUGUUGCUCUGUACUACAGUGGUACCUCGGGUUAAGUACUUAAUUUGUUCCAGAGGUCCGUACUUAACCUGAAACUGUUCUUAACCUGAAGCACCACUUUAGCUAAUGGGGCCUCCUGCUGCUGCUGCGCCACCGGAGCACGAUUUCUGUUCUCAUCCUGAAGCAAAGUUCUUAACCUGAAGCACUAUUUCUGGGUUAGCGGAGUCUGUAACCUGAGACAUAUGUAACCUGAAGCGUAUGUAACCCGAGGUACCACUGUAUAAAGUAACAGCUGUAACAAUAUGUUAAAGGUUAGUAAAAAUUCAUCAGUUUUAGACCCCUAAGUACGGUGGACGCUCACGUUGCGAACGUGAUCCAUGCGGGAGGCACUUCUGCAAGCCGCAGCGCCGUGUCUGCGCACGCAUGGGUUCCGAUUCAGCCCUUCGGUGCAUGCAUAAAGCGCGAUUUAGUGCUUCUGUGCAUGUGCGAGCGCCGAAACCCAGAAGUAACCCAUUCCGGUACUUCCGGGUUUCAGCGCGUCCGUAUCCCGAAAGCGCGCAACCUGAAGCGCCUGUAACCCGAGGUAUGACUGUAGUAGCAGUUCACCUCCACAUCCUUAUUUCAGACAUUGUGAUAUACUGUAUCAGUAUAUCACAAUGUUUAGCUGGUGAUAAAUCAUCAUGUUGAAGCCAGACAUCACUCAUCCUUAACACACAUCAUGAUUUGCAAUUUACUGCCCAGCUGAAAUUUAUGAAAACAACUUCACAAUAAAAGUCAAUCCUUCAUUAGGCAUAGCAAACCACAAUGUCACAAUAUGGACUUCAAACCAGUUUUGGACAAUAUAAAGAUACAUCGCCCAGCCCUAAUGAUGAGCAGCUCUCACAUGUUGAGACUGGUAUGUACAACCUCUAUACGUGUUCAGUUUAAGAGACUUCCAAUGUGGCUUUAAUAGACGCUUGAUAUAAAAAUUAAGUGUCUCAGCGAUAAGCAAUUUCAGCCUGUUACUUCGCAGCAUCCUGUUUCGUUCACUCAGCACCAUCAGGCAGACAUUGGUAAUAUAAGGCAUCACCUAACCUAUGUUGUCUCAUUCUCCAUGGCUGCUGAAGCUCCUAUAUAUACUGAGUCAAAUCAUGAGUUUAAAAAUUACUGAACGUAAAGCUGCCACAUGUAGAAAAGUCAACCAAUAAUACUUUUGUCCUCACAUUUGUGCUGCAGGCCUCCUCUUAAGCAAGUGAGCUGAGUAGAUUGUAUGUUGCUUGCCAAGGUAGGAAGUAGAGUGCAGUCAUCAGUAAGUGGGAUUAAGCAGCCCGCGAGUUUAUUGAAAAUAAAGUAAGUAGAUUGCAUGGUCAAAGCAGGCAUUUUGCUUUCUAGUGCAAUAACUUUGAGCAGCUUUUGAGCAUGAUUAGUGCUUUCCUCUCUUGCACUUCAUUUUUCUGUCCCCUGCAGAAUGAGGCACGAAUUACAGGGGUGUGUGGAGCUCUGAUACUCUGCAGCAAGGAACCAUGAGUUUCAACAUGAUACACACAAAAAAGCAUACACACAAAAGGAAAUGCAAGACUUAACCAAUGUGCACUCAGAGAGGAAGUUUAACAUAUGAAGCAACCCCUCUUUAAUCUGUAUAAAUACCACCUACAACUGAUUAUAACCUCACAUUUCUUAGGCAAAGGAUGAUUCCAUACCAGGCGCUUAGUGUGAGAUUGCAACAUUUAGUUUAUUGGAUUUUUACAAGACAAGGUUGUUGUGGAAGGGAAGAAAAAAAAACCCUUCAUAGUCCCUGCUAUCCCCACUUUCCUCAAACCAGAGAAAGUCCAGCCUUUUGAGAAGAGCAGUGUAAUUGCUGCUGUUGUGUUAGAGUUGCUGCAGGUGGAAUUCCUCAUUCGGACCUUGAGCAGGGUAGAAAUAAUUUUGCUCUCCACCACAGAAAUGAGUUUCAAAGCUGUACUGGAAACAGUCUUAAAAUAGGUACAAAUAAAUGUUACAAAAAUAUAAAGCAACACAUUGCUCUGAAACAAGCAAAAUACAAGUCAGGUGGGUAGGGAUUGGGGGGGCAUACAUGCUUUUAUGACACCAGAUCCCACCCCCCUUGUGGAGGAGUGUUUUCCGCAUUUGGCUUCCUGCCUCCUUUACCACUCUGGCCCUGCUCUUCUCCUUGACUCACAUAGACGGGCAAGGGCCAGGAGUAGAUGGCCGGCUUCCACACGUGACUUGAGCCACGGCUCCAGCCUCUCACCCGUGCUGGUGUCAGAAGAGACUCCAGCAUGAAGGAGGAGGAGGAGGAGGAGGAGAAGUCAGGUUGGGGCAGUGGAGGGGGCCAAGCGCCAGUGGAUAUGUACCAUGCUAGACUGGCAGCGGCUAAGGAGGAGCAGCAGUCUCUCUAUUGUUGCUCAGGCUGGGCUCCUCGUCAGCCGUACUCACAGCAACACAGCCACCAUUUGGUGCUGGCUGAGCUCGAAUAUGUCUAAGUAGGACAGGAGACCCUUUUGUCCCAAAAUGGGGUGAUCCCAUUUUUUUCUAGGGACGGGUGGCAACCCUACUGCCCCGUGCCUCCUCCCCCUUUUGUGACUUUUGGGGACACUUCUGGGUUUGGCGCAAUGGUCGCACACAUGUUGAAUGUGCGUAAAUGGGGUGUUGCCCAUGCAAUACAACAUAAAGGUGGCUGAACUGCAGAGUCUAGGAAUAAAAGGCAAGAAAUCUUCCUCUAAAAAAGUCUUGCCCAAAGGAACCAAAUAAAUAAAAUGACCACAAAGGCAAAGCAAGUGGCAGCAAAGAAAGCAAAGAAGGAAUCUGAAAAGUAGUUUGUAGCCUUUCAGUCCUCUAUCUACAUGAAGGAGUGUUUCACACACAUAUGCACACACCGCUUUAAAAUACAGUGGUGCCCCGCAAGACGAACGCCUCGCAAGACGGAAAACCCGCUAGACGAAAGGGUUUUCCGUUUUGGAGGCGCUUCGCAAAACGAAUUUCCCUAUGGGCUUGCUUCGCAAGACGAAAGCCCAUAGGGAAAUCUCCGAGGACCUCUUUUAAAUGCUAGCGGUGGGGAGCAAAGCCUUCCCCCCUCCGGCCUUCAGAAGAGGUCCAGGAAGGCUGGCGGGGGCCGAAGGCUUUGCUCCCCACCGCCAGCAUUUUAAAAGCAGUCCGGGAUAGCAGGGAAGCGCUUCCCGCUAUCCCGGACGGCUUUGAAGGCUGGAGUGGUCCGCGAAGCCUGGGCGCGCUGAUCUCAGCGCGCGCAGGCUUCGGCAUGCCGGCAACUCUCCGCAAGCAGCGGCAGCGCUGCCGCUGCUCGCGGAGAGGUCCGCGAAGCCUGGGCGCGCUGAUCUCAGCGCGCGCAGGCUCGGCAUGCCGGCAACUCUCCGCAAGCAGCGGCAGCGCUGCCGCUGCUCGCGGAGAGGUCCGCGAAGCCUGGGCGCGCUGAUCGCAGCGCGCGCAGGCUUCGGCAUGCCGGCAACUCUCCGCAAGCAGCGGCAGUGCUGCCGCUGCUUGCGGAGAGGUCCGCGAAGCCUUGGCUGGACAGCUUUUGAAGGCAGGUGGGGGGACAAGACUUUCGCCCCCGCCAGCCUUCAGAAGAGGUCCAGGACCUCUUCUGAAGGCUGGCGGGGGCAAAGUCUUUGUCCCCCUGCCUGCCUUCCCAGGGGCUUUAAAUUGCCCCGGACAGCGGAGAAGUCCUCCGCUGUCCCGGGGCAAUUUUAAAAUGCCGCCCGCCAGCAUUUUAAGAUCGCCCCGGACAGCGGAGAAGCCCUCCGCUGUCCCGGGGUUUUUUAAAAUGCUGGGGUGGGUGGGAAGAAAAGCCCUUGUCCCCCCCCCAGCCUUCAGAAGAGGUCGGGGGACAGACUGUCCCCGGACCUGGUCUGAAGUCGGUUUCCCUAGGAACGCAUUAAUUGAUUUUCAAUGCAUUCCUAUGGGAAACCGUGCAUCGCAAGACGAAAAACUCGCAAGAAGAAAAAACUUGCGGAACGAAUUAAUUUCGUCUUGCGAGGCACCACUGUACAAGGGCUCAGAUUUGCAGGGUCACUCAUAGCGUUUUGUGCACGCUCAGGGUUUUUUCAUCUCCUCUCUUCUUUAGGCAGCUGCCUCUCCCCCAAGGGUCAAGAGGAGCACAUCACCACCUUCUGAGGUGCCAGAGGCUGUCGUCUCCUUCGCAGGAGGGCUGUGUGCACACGCAUUAACCUCCCUGGAUGCCAGCCUUUGAGCUUAUUGAGUUGUCUAGUCUGUUUCCUGUAACCUUGCUUGUGUCAGCUGAGACUGUUCUGUCGCUUGAUUAUAUUAUAAACUCAAGGUCUUAUUUCCCAGGCAAAGACCCUGCGCGACUGUAUGUUUGAUGUGCGUAUAUAUAGCUUCAAGCGCCUUCUUGAUUGUUGUUUGUUUCCAAUUCAUUGCCUUAGAGCCGAAGGAUCUAAACUUCAUGCACAUGGAACACUGCCGCUUUUGUAUAUCAAGUAACACUGUAUUAAAAUGGAUGAGCCUGUAAUCUCACUUUCAUUUCUGGUCUUGCAGCGAUUUAAGAGUUCUUUUGCAGAGUCCAGCUCAGUUAAAGACAGCAUGGGGUGGGGUUUUUUGCUGCUUGGUUUGCUACGGAGCGGCAUGCAUCCUAAGUGAGUGCAUGUACAUGGAGCCAAGUCUUUUUGAACUAGUCGCAUUUCUGUGCUGAAUCCUGCUUCAUAACAUUACAGAAUGCCGCUGUCAUAUGCUGAAGCAGUGAUAAGAUAAGCACUGCUGAGCAUGUGCAGAGUGCUUUCUCCUCACACGGAGCCAUAGCAGCAACAACAACAGCCAAAGUCCUGUGAAAUGAAUUAUGUGAGCCCAAGCUGUGAAACUGGGCUGUGAAAUAAGGCAAAUUCUGUUGGGCAAGCUCUGCACCUUCUCUGCCAAUGCAAGCGUUUCAAUACCAAGGACGCAGGGACAGUGUUUCUUCUUCUUAGGCUUGACCCCAGUCAAAAGGAAAAAGAAAUUUAGGACUUCCUCUAGAGUACUGAUAUAAAACUUUGUUUUUACAAAAUGCUGCCUCAGCACCCAUCCCUUUGUAGUUGCUUGUCUGUUAAGCUCUGCAGUAACAUGCUGCAAAUCUGUGGUUAUGCAGAUUCAUUUUCUCGGAUUAAUUUACUGACGGAGGAGUCUUUCAUGGCUCCAACUCUCCAAAUGAAAUUUUAGAUGAUCACUCUCCCCCUAAGUGGAUUACCCUUUAAUUAAAAAGCCACACCUACUCUUUGUUGUGGUAUAUUCUAAAUAGUUAUUUCUCAUCUUUGCUGUACAGUAACUGAAUACUCUCUCUUCUAAGGAGAUUUGAAUUUUGGCAGUCAGAGGGCACUGGCAAGAGAAUAUGAUUGAUUUGAUACAUGGAGCAGUAUAAAAAUGCUCAGAUAAUCUAUUCUGCUCCCUCCCCCCUUACUCUAUAUUAUAAAAUGGGCACUCCCAGUAUUCAGAGUGUGGAAUGAGUUUGAUUACAACAUUAAGCAAACUUCUUUAAAAGGUCUAGGAAUCUGUGCCACUGUUUGCACUGCAACUGCUUACAGCUUUCGUGCAACGUGUGUGCUCUCAUUAUUUGCUUUGUUCAGAAGGGCCUUAAAAACACAGCAUCAUCAGCAUAAUCAUAGUGAUAUAUCUUUUGUAUUUGCUAUCUGUCAUAAAAUGGGAAAAAACUGGAAACUGUACUUUAGGACUCUAAGGAUUAAGGUUUAUCUGUCUCCAUAAAGGACACAAAUCAUCUAGAUUAGAAGUAAUCUGAUUGUAUUGAGGCACAAAUUAUAGCACAAAGGCUGUUCAAGUGGGUUUAAGUGUGCAGGGCUGGUAAACACCAUAUGACCACUGAUUGGUCCAUGAAAGAGUAUUAACCGAAAGAUAAUGAUGGAUUUUAAUCCAAAUCCCUAAAGCACAGCAGCUGCAGUUCCCAAAUGAGUUUGCUCUCUCGGUCUGAGUUUUUCAAAUACUGAUGUACUGUGUUCCUAGUUCAUGUCUCAAGAGAGAGUUAAUUUGAAUAAUUCUUUGCUCUUAUAUUGAGCAGGUUUGUUUGUUUCUCCAGUAAGGUCCGCAGUUGCUUCUGUUUUUAAAUUGAUCAGAGUUGGCCAUAUCUCCAAGCACAAUCUAGGAGAGGGGAUUUUGUUGUAUCAACCCGUUCCCUGUGUCUCGCACUCCUUCUUUUUCAAUACACAUUUAAUAGUUGUGAAAGAAUCACAUGGCUCGUUCCCUGAUGAAUGGCAUUGAAAAGCAGUGUAUAUACAUACUUACCAUACUGCUCUGAAAAAUGUUAUAAUAGUGUUAUUGCUGCUUGCAGUACGGAUGUAGUUUCUUACUGCCCUGUCCUCUUGCAGUCUGCAGUGAAACUGCAUUUCUUUAGAUUUUGGGCGGUUUAUUCAGACUGGACCUAGGGAAAAAAAUGGAUUCUUUUUUCCUAGAAGGCAGAUAAAAAGGGAUUACACAGUAUGUGUGUGGGUAUCUAUUUGCUAGUGCCCAUACUGUCACUUGAGCAAAAGUUUCUGAACUUGUUCUUCAUCCCUGCAGCAGUUUUGCCACUGUCUGCAAAGGCUAUAUAACUUUGUUAUCUCUCAUGCUGGCAUCUUGGAUCGUGGUGUAUUAAGUUUCAGGGUCCUGGCUCUUGCUCAUCACAACAGCAUUGGAGAUUAACAUCCUAUUCCCUUUUACAGUGGUACCUCAGGUUAAGAACUUAAUUCAUUCUGGAGGUCCGUUCUUAACCUGAAACUGUUCUUAACCUGAGGUACUACUUUAGCUAAUGGGGCCUCCCAUUGCUGCUGUGCCGCCGCCAUGCAAUUUCUGUUCUUAUCCUGAAGCAACGUUCUUAACCCGAGGAAUUAUUUCUGGGUUAGUGGCAUCUGUAACCUGAAGCAUCUGUAACCCGAGGUACCAAUGUAAAUGUGCUUGUGGAGGGGGGGCAGUGUUAGAAACUGAGAAAUUCGGAGCUAAAUGGUACCUUAAACCCAGGUUAUAGGCACAACAAUGGAAUGCCUAAGCGCACUUUUUAAAUAAAAAGAAUACAAAACUGAAAAUGAAUGAACUGCAGCUAAAAUACAGUGGUACCUUGGGUUACAUACGCUUCAGGUUAAAGACUCCGCUAACGCAGAAAUAAUACCUCGGGUUAAGAACUUUGCUUCAGGAUGAGAACAGAAAUCAGGCUCCAGCAGCGCGGCAGCAGCGGGAGGCCCCAUUAGCUAAAGUGGUGCUUCAGGUUAAGAAUAGUUUCAGGUUAAGAACAGACCUCCAGAAUGAAUUAAGUACGUAACCAGAGGUACCACUGUACUAUGUUCAUUUUUCACAUGGUCUAGUCAUUCCCUUGCCCACCCCCCCUAAUAUUCUUAAGAGGGUUUCUUCUCCAGUCUUCAGAGAGUAGCUGGACGUGGGGAGGCACUUGCACUCUGCAGUUUUAAUCUGAAAUCUGCAAGGCAUAUGCAGGCAAUUAAGAGUGCACCCCUCUACGAUGGUUUAGUAUAUUCUCUUUUUUACUUUUAUGCUUUUUUAUUUGUAUAGGGGGAAAGGAAAGUGGCGAGUGUAGAAGUCCUGGAAGAAAGCAAUAAAUAAAUAUGUUUCCAUUGAUAAAAUAUUGAACACUUGAGUGUGUUGAGAGUGUGCACUCUAUGGCUUUGAGGGACAAGGUCAAAUUUUUUGCAGAGUUGUCAAAUUACAAGAGCACUGUUAUGGUCCUCGCCUGCAUACUCACUCCCGAACCCUAUAGUGCUGGCGUUUCUGUGUAAACAGAUAACCUCUAUCAUAACAUCCAUUCUAGUAUGCCACCAUUGACUCGUGGGACCACAGACCAAUGGUUCUGCAUCGGCUGCAGAAGAAGGAACAUAGGGUGCAAGAUCGGCUUAAGGCACAAAAACAGACAAACUUUAAGAGUAUUUGCAAGCAUGUGAUGAAGUGUUACCCAGAGGUGGAGCAAGGUGGGUUCGAUGGGCACGGCCCACCCUGAGUGCCAUCCCUGAGGGGGGGUGACAUCGGCGUGGGCAGCGCCCCCCCCAGGAUGCUCCCUCCCACCAGCGCACCCCGUGGGACACGCGCCACCCCUGCGGGUGGCUAGCCGCUCCCCACGGGCCGAUCCAAGUGCUGGAGCAGCUAGCUCCACCUCUGGUGUUACCUUCCCAGAUAGGUAGACGAAGUUCAGUGGUACCUUGGGUUAAGUACUUAAUUCGUUCCGGAGGUAUGUAUUUAACCUGAAACUGUUCUUAACCUGAAGCACCACUUUAGCUAAUGGGGCCCCCUGCUGCCGCCGCGCCGCUGGAGCCCGAUUUCUGUUCUCAUCCUGAAGCAAAGUUCUUAACCCAAGGUAUUAUUUCUGCGUUAGCGGAGUCUUUAACCUGAAGUGUAUGUAACCUGAAACGUAUGUAACCUGAGGUACCACGGUAGGCCAAAAAGAAGUAGGUGUUUUAAUGUGGUUUGUUAGUAUGUACACUAAGCAAAAUGUACCCUUAUAUAAUUUGUGUGUAUACAGCCCCUGACAUUGACAUUCAAGUGCUUUUUAAGGCGUCUAGUCACACAACCCUUUUUCCAACUGCACAUCAUCAGCUUUCUAACUGUACAUUUUGUGUCCAGCUGCGUUAAAAAACACCUGAAUGACAAAAAAAACCCUGAACAGUAUUAAAAUUCUAAAUCUGUGAAAAUUUUGCAGUUUUUCUGUGGACCUAGGGAUGGGUUUAGAAAGUGCUUUUUCACUUCCUAAGUGCUUAAGACUGCCUUUCCCCGAGGGCCUAUGUAAACCUUUCACUUCACUUAUUUUUUUUUUUAAGAAAUAUUCUUCAUUCAACAGAAUGGUUGAGUCCAGCUACUUACAGCCUUGUCAACAGGUUCUGUUCUCUGCCCAAGGCAUUCGCGGACUGUCUCAAAGUGCCUUCUGUUUAUGCACCUGUAGUAGUUCUCUGUUCAAUAGUAGUUCUACAUACAGGUGUCAUAGAUACUUAUAAUGAACAGCAGAAUCUGCUCUCGGGCUCUUCUGCUUCUCUUACAGCAGUCGGCACCAUUUCAGAGUUUGCUAGUUCUACUCCUAUGUGGAAGACCCUGUUGAUUUUGGAUGCUAUCACGUCAAAGACAUUGAAGGAUGAUCUCUACGAUGUAUCUCUUCAAGCAGCUUCCAUUGCAGAUUUUUCCCUGGAUGCCAAAUACACUUUAAUGCUGGACCUAUGGCUUUCCAGCACUGUCGCAAGGUACAAAGUUGAAGGACAUCAAGCUUCAGGGAGCAGAUAUCAUUAUGAUAACAUCUCACUGGCCCAGGAGAGAUUGCUUAAAGAUGUCAGUCAGAGCCCACUGGAAGUCAUCUGUGUCAAGAACCAGUAGUAUGUCCUUACCCUCAUGGGAACCUUCCUGCAGUAGUGUGAGAUUAAAGGCAGAGUGCAAGGCAUAGAGAGGAAAUUACCCUCUGUUUGAGAAUUAGUGUAGGAUUGGUUUACCGUGGGGGUUUUUUUUUACUGGUACUUUUACAAGACAGGUCAUGAGUAAGUUAACUAAUUCUGGCUCAUAAAAGGCAUAGUGGCAAUGUUAUUUAUUAAUCUUAUGCACAGGCUGUAUGCAGUUUUUUUUAAUAAAAAAAAAUGCAAAGGCUACUAAUGUACUUUAUAAAAAUAGAAACAUUAUUCAUCAUCCUGAAAGAACAAAGAAGCAGAAGAAGAACUGCAGAGGGCUGCCACUUCUCCCAACCAUGAUCUGUAUACUGGGAUAAUGCUUACUCAGAAAGAACCAUUCUCCAUACUUCCUGUAGCCCCUGUCCAGGCAGGUCGCAAAGCCCUGCUGUUUCUUUCUUGCUCUUCCCAGCUUGGCUACCCAUUUGUUUAAAAGUAUAAUUGUGUUCAUAGGGAAUGUGGCUCAGAUGAAUAUUAUACAUUAAGCGAAGCUAAACAUUCAGUAACAGAGAUGUGUUUGGGAACCUGAAUCACCAUUGGAGGGUGGUAAAGGCAGGCACAAUUUAUAGAGAAGAAAUUGCAGGUGCUUGGAAGGAGUAUUUAAUUGUUAUCUCCUGCAACUUUGUCCUGCAAGCCCAGCAGGCAGAAAUUUCUGAAAUAUCACGGGGAGAAGCGCAUGGUGAAAAAAGAGUUUAGGUUACCACCUGCUCAUUCACAUAUUCUACCCUAAAAAUAACACCCUCCCUGCUUGCCACCCUUGCAGUUUUGAAAACAAGGUUCCCAGACCUAUUUCUACUGAUGAACAUCUAGUUUUUAUUUUUUUAAAAAAAUAAUAAUAUUUAUUACUUUUAUAGAUUACAAAAAGAGAGAGAAAAAAGCAAAAGAGAAAAAACAGAAGAAAAAGAGAAGAGAAAAAAAGAAAACACAAUACAAUAUAUAAACAAUACAAAACACAACCUAAACUCAAAACUAGACACAUUAAGCUAAACUAAACAAACCCCACUCCCCAAAACAAAAACAAUUUAAAAACAUACAUCCUCUCUUUUCCAUACUCUAUCUUUCGUUCCCUUGUUUCCUCGACCUCCUCACACCUCCCUUUUCGUGUUCUGCUUCUAUUAAUUGUUUCAGCAAAUCCUUUCCAUCUUUCUCCAUUUUCUGUAAUAUUGUAAAUAACGUAUUAUUUUAACCUUAUUUUCCAUUAAAACUAAAUUACUUAUAUGUGCUUAACUCCUUAUAACAUUUCUGUUGAGCCCAUAAAAAAUAAAAAUCAUUCCACCAUUUUUCUAUCACUCAUUAGUUUUACCAUAAGUCUAUAUAAAAACUUUAAAUUUUCCAAUCUUCUUCCACCAUCUCCUCUCCCAGGUUUCGGAUUCUGCCAGUCCUUUCCGUCAAUUCCAUAAAGUCCAUCAACCUGGUGAUCUUAUGUCCGAGGCUCUUAACUCUUUUCCAAGUCCCUUCUGCAGGUCUUCUUCAUUUUCUUUAAUGCUAAAGAGCCAAUCUCGGGAAAUUCCAACCUGUCAAUCCUUUUCUUCCUUCUGAACAAAUCAGCUGAGUUUCCAUAGUUAAAACUACAGUCCAUAAAGUAUUUCUGGGUAUAUUUCAAAAUUCCUCCAAUUCCAAAGGCCCCCAAAACUUCAAUCUCCUCCAGGCCCGAGUCCAUGUCCCAAAAGUCAGUUAAUCCCUGCAUAGAGGGCUCUUUCCAACUUUCCUUCUUUAAUCCAAACCGGGAUCCAUUCCUCGGAGUCUGGCUUUUCCUGGAUUCAAUCAUAGAAGGCCUCAACUUAUAAUCUCCAAUUUGCUUCUGUACAUCCACAGAUCUCACUUGUAUUAUUUUAUGUUGAACAACGGCUGCAUUCUCCUUCUCCUCCUUCUCCUCCACCAUUUGUCCUGCCAAAAUGGGUUCCUGUACCAAGUCCUUAAUUAUUUCUGUGUUAGUGUUCGCUUUUUGACUCAAGUUGGUCACUUUCUGUUCCAAAUUAUCAACUUUGAGAGUCAUAUCAUCCAUCUUCUUGUGAAGCUGUCCCAGCGAACAGCUUAUCUUACAUAAAACAGUCACAAUGGCCUCUCCUAUCAACAUUUUUAAAUAGUCCAAGGUCGCUCUCUGGUUCCCAAACUCCUUUUCUGCAGUUGGAAAUUCCACAGUUACAGUCCUGUUACAGUUUCAAAAGCUCCCUCUAGAGGGAAACAGUCUCCACUUAUAUCAGUUCUUUCAAACACAAUUUCAAACAUUAAAGAUAAAAUUUCAGUUACUUUUCCUCUUUUUUUUUAAACGCAGAAAGGGACAAUGGAAACAGUAUCUUACUCUUGUUUAGCUAGCUGUCAAAUCCGUUCUGUCAAAAGCACUCUCUCCAAACGUCAUCUGGCAGCCCGUUCCCAGGUUCAGAGCAGUGGUAAUUUGAUUUUUUCACUCUCUCCUGCAGGCUCAAUAGAUCCAAAAUUUCCCCCUCUUCUCCUGCUUCCUAAGGGGGUUUUGUAACUUUAAACCGGUGGAAAUUUGAUCCUUUGCCAAAAGGUUUCAAAGGCUUUACUUGUAACGUCUUUGCUUCAGUCUAUUUACAAAAACGGGAGGCGGACUUCCUGUUUAUAACCUUCCCGUUUCAGUACCAAAUUUGAAGUAUUUAAAAAUCCAAUUUUCCGUUUUACUCACGAGUAGUUGUUUAAAAUCCAAUUGUCCACAGGAAAAAGUCAGCGCUCUCCGGCAACAGCAAUGCGGCUUCACUCCGUGAAAGAAGCAGUCGAUUCAAAGCACCGCGCCACUCACCCCACGUUGCUCCGGAUCCCCAAAACAGGGUUUCCCCGCGAGUAGGGGAGGCGCAAAGGUGCCAGCCGAAUCCCACGUCCACAGGCUUCUCCCGCCUGUAGUUUUUAAUGGGUCUCCGCCUCGCCGUGGCGGUUCAGACCCUGUUUUUCAUGGAGCGGGUUCCUCCCGAUCAGAGGAAAUCCGCCAUUGCCAGAGGCGCCAACCCGGAAGUCUCUGAACAUCUAGUUUUUACCUGUGGCAUAAAAUGUGGAAGUGGAUCUGGGAUUCUUUGAAUACAGUUUUUGUGUGGUGUUUUUGUUUCUAACAGAUGUUUUGUUUGUGCUUCAGCUGGUCGAGGCUUUUGUUUUGUUUAUGGGAUAGUAAUUUAAUAAACAUGCAGAACUUUAAUUGAGUAAUUUAAACAGUGCUUCAGCUGAUGCUGCUGUCUUUGAAUUCUUCAUUUCUGUACGUGCUUAAUAUACAUUCCAUUAAUACUGAAGUUUCACAAUAUAGAGGCUCCAAAAAAAAACUGCUGUUGAGCAUUAUGCUAUUUAAUUCUUGGUGUCUAUUGCCCUUUACAAUAAAAUACAAUUUGCACUGUGGGAACUGAACAAUCUGUAUUUUAAAAAAUAUAUACACUCAUAUUUUCUGAAUAUGAAUCUCUGAAUAAUACUUCUGAGUUUCGGAUACCAAAUAGCAAAAGGGAAGAAGAGCAUAUAUAAAAUCAGUUAGUUUAGUGAUUCUAUAUCGAAUAUCAAACCUGAAUAGAACAUUAAGACCCAGAGCCAAAGAAAUACUUAGGUGUGUACAAAAGUUUGGGCAUGUGGAAUUUUCACUUCUUGCUCUCCAACUGUCCCAUUUCAGCUGUGACUGCCGUGUUUUUCCCCUGUUCCAAGGAAAACUCCACUCUGCAAACAACCUGCUUUUUCAGGAACUAUUUGCCUUUCUUCCAUUCUCUCAUUUUUUUUCUUCCUUCCUUUGGCAUCAUCCUUGCAUAUGGUCACUUAAGCUCAGGCCCAAAUAAGUAUCACAAAUCAACUGCAUAGCAAGAUUUUAGAUAUAUACUAGCUUGUAUGUUGAAUACCCAAUAAAUUUGCUUUAGGGAUUUAUACCUUCUCAGGCUUCAAAAACCUCCCCAUGGAGGUUUACACAACAUAAAACAGCAGUGGUGAAACAGGAUAAAAACCAGCACUGGAAAUAAAACUAAAAAAUGAAUGGAAUAUUUAUUUAUUUAUUUAUUUAAAAAGUCUUUGCCUGGUGAUAAAAUGAGAACAAAGUGGGCACCAGGUGAACCUUUCUGGGGAGAGCACUCCAUAAUCAAGGCAUCACCAAAAAGUCACUAACCCUAGUUGUCAGUCAUUGCAUCUGUGAUAGUCUUGGCAGGGGUGCAGCUAGCUGCUCUGGCACCCGGAACGGUGGGGGGGGGGGCGAUCUGUGCACAGUGGCGGCAUGGCGUUCCAUGCACGGGGGCGGGGCGGCGGGGCGAGCUGCCCACGGAGUCCAGUUGGCGGAUGCAAGCCCCACAAUGCUGUUUCGAGCUGCCCCAGGUGUCAUCCUUGAGGGGGUUGACAAAAUGGCACACCUGCAGUGCGGCCAGAAUUCCCGGUAAGUGCCGAUCCCCGCAGUGUGCCAUUUUGUCAACCCCCUCAAGGAUGACACCCGGGACGGGCCACACACACCUUCCUACACCUCUGAAUCUUGGUGGGAAUGGCAGCCUUAAAAGGGUUCUCUGAUUAUCUCUGUGAACAGGUCAGUUCCUAUGGAGAGAGUCAAUCCUUCAGGUGCCUUGAUCCCAACCCAUAAUUUAAGUAGCAGAGUUUGUUUGUUUAUUUGCUUGCUUGCUUGCUUUUUUCUAGACUGUCCUUUAUCCUGACAGGUGCCAGAGUGGUGUACAAUAAGAACAGUAUAAUAAAUUGCAGCACACACAUGUCCUUUACAACAAUAAAAAUUGAGAGUCCUAAUACAGUGGUAACUCGGGUUAAGUACUUAAUUCGUUCCAGAGGUCCGUUCUUAACCUGAAACUGUUCUUAACCUGAAGCACCACUUUAGCUAAUGGGGCCUCCCGCUGCCGCCGUGCCGCCAGAGCGCGAUUUCUGUUCUCAUCCUGAAGCAAAGUUUUUAACCCAAGGUAAUAUUUCUGGGUUAGCGGAGUGUAUAACCUAAAGCGUAUGUAACCUGAAGCGUAUGUAACCCGAGGUACCACUGUGCUAAAAAACAACAAUUGCCUUAUUAUUGCAUUUUUAACGUGGUAUAGAAAUAUUUUAGCAGUUGACAAACUGUUGUCAAUUGACAAAUCCUUGUAGAAGAUCACCUGUGAAAAUCAAUAAAUCUAAUUGCGUAUUUUCCCAGUUUAACUACUCAGGAUGUUAUUUUGAGUUGUAAUCCUUUUUAAAAUGAAAAUCCAAUGCAAGAGAAAGAGAGUUCCUAUGCUCACACUACAUCUGUACCCAAUCUGUUCUCCCCACCCAUAUAUGACAAUAUUAUUGAAUACUGCAUUUUGACAUAGCAGGUAUUUCAAAGGGGCCAAGAUAUAUUUUUCCCUGAUGAAGGAACUCCUGUUAACAAGCCUUGUUAUAAGAGCAGCGCCUGUAAGCAUAAUAGCUACCAGGUUUACAAAUAACACUCUCAUUGGCAGCAUCUGAAAAAGCACAAAGUAAUCUCCUUCAGCUCUUGCAUGACAUUCUGAAAGCAGUGCUGCUUGUUUAUAAAAGUUGUGGAGAUGGGGGGAAAUGGCAAACCUACUAUGGGAUGAAAAUCUGUCAGUGUAUGGCUUAAAGGGUGACUUCAUAAACAAUGCAGAUUUUAGCUUAUCACUGUGUAUCACAGUUCUGCAUUUAGUUUUGGGGUAGAAAGAUGGUUCCCUUCAUCCUCCUCACCCCACCCCCAAAUAAAAUGCACAUGAAAGGCUAUCAGCACUGCCUUCGGGAAAACAAUAGCUCCUCUUAUGUUUUUGUUAACGCUGCUGGAUAUUUCAUGCAAGGUGUCCUGCGUAUGCUGCUCACUGCAGUAUCCCAGUGGAACUUGUAACCCAGAUGGCUCAGACCAUAUGCUUCUACAGUUUUUAGCUAUGCUUCAUGAAAUAAUACAUAGGCCAUGAGGAAAGACGUGUAACGUUUGCUCAGUACCAGAUAUGGCACAUACUGCUUCCAAGCAUUGUAGAGGGACUAUAUAACACUUGAGGAAGCAUGAGUGAAGCACCUUUGAGUGCUCCUCAUUCCCAAGCUAGGGACUUCAGAGAAGCACAAAGUUGCCAAAACACACUAGUGUUUGCCUGAUUGCCCUUAGCCCAAAUGGGGCUAGGGAGCAGAGCAAUUAAUGUUGCACAGACUGGAAAAAGGUGGCUCAGCCAGCAAUCUACCGUCUUGCCCAUCAGGUCCAUCUCACACUUUUUAAAAAAACAAAAACAAAUUGCCUCCCAUGAUACUACCCUACAUCUGAAUUCUACCCUACAUGGGAAUCUGAGGCAGACCAUCGGUCUGUCUGGCUGACUGGCAACAGCUCUCCAGGUUUGCACAGUGGGAACAUUCCUAGCCGUAUCUAGAGACCUUCUCCAUGCAAAUCAGAUGCUUUGCCAUUGAGCUUGUGGCAUUCCCCCAUAGUCAUAAGUUAUAGAACUAGGGAUGGUUGUGUGAGAAAUAAGUCGCCACCUCAGGGCUAUGUUUGUGGUCUGUGGUGAACAAAUGUAUGUGCCACUAUCCACUAUCAGCAGCUGCAGCUUUUUCCUAGGUACAUCCUCUAUGCCGCCUCUGAUGCUGGAGGGCUCAGAGAGGGACAGUUGGAUUAGAGAAUGUUGUGAAGUACAGAAGGCAGCACCUACUGCUGGGAAUGCAAGAUGGAUGCCCUGGCAGAAUGGCAGGAAACUCCAGCUGAUGCAUAAGUCCCAAGGUUUGGGGGGAGGACGAGGACUGGGCAAGGCUUUGUGUUUGUAUCCUGAGCUACUGCUUCCCCCACCAUUACCAGCUAAACUUCUAAUGGCGCCAUCAGAGCUCUGCAGAGUUAAAAGCCUUCCAAGUACCCCCCCUGCCCCAAUCCUCUUAAGUCUCAUGCUGUUUCAAAACUGCAAGUGGUGCCAUACCACAUAGGGAGGGGGGAAAAGUGAUUUGAGAAUGUUUGACCUUGUAUACCUGGCUAAGCUUUUUAGAUUUGAUUUGGUGAAGGUAAAAGGCACCUUAGCAGAAAGGAUUGCAAAAAAAGACAGACUGCGGGAGAACAUGAGGGAAGGAGGGAAGAGGGAGGAUGCGGGCAUUAGACUUUAGAAAAGCAGAUUUCGACAAUCCCAGUGUCAUUAAGCAAAGUACCAUGGAAAGAUUAAGUUAUAUGAAAAGGAGUGUAUGAAUAGGGAUGGCAGCUUUUGAAAGCCAUUACUAUAGUUAGGAGCCACAACCAUGCAAAAUGAGAAAGAAUGGUGAGAACUGCCAGAAACUGAUGUGAUUUGGUCAGGGACCUUCUUAAUGAACGGAAAGUCAAAAGGGGAAGUACAAAGGGAAUCAAACACUAAGAGAAAGUAUGUUUGCCUAGAUGAAGUAAGAGCAAAAGCAGAAAUUGCCGUAUUUUUUGCACCAUAACACUCACUUUUUUCCUCCUAGAAAGUAAGGGGAAAUGGCUGUGCGUGUUAUGGAGGGAAUGCCUACGGGUGGCGGGGGGGAUCUGCUGCAGUCGUGAGCAGAGGAUCCAUGGUUCCCCUUCCUUCCCUCUUCUGCAUUAUUAGCAGCAUCCUUCUCCACCCACCCCAUGCGUGCUCCUUCUCCCCUUAAACCCCUCUUCUGCAUUAUUAGCAGCAUCCUUCUCCACACACCCCAUGCGUGCUCCUUGUCCCUUGAGUGCUUUUCCUUCCCUCCCCACUUAAAACGUGGUUACAAAGCACGGAUCCACAUGGAUCCUCAGGAUUUUUGCACUGGGUCACCCCAAAUUCACCAUCAGAUCACAUAGCAUGUCCAUGGCUACAUCUUGCACCAAAAAAAUCACGCACCCACUGUUGCCUGGGGCUGCAGUGGUGCAAAAACAUGGUUACAAAGCAUGGAUCCACAUGGAUCUUCAGGAUUUUUGCAUUGGGCUACUCCAAACUCACUGUCAGAUCACAUGUCUGUGGCCACAGCAUGAACCACAAAAAUCAUACAUCCACUGUUUCAUUUAGAAUAUUUUUUUCUUGUUUUCCUCCUCUAAAAACUAUGUGCGUGUUAUGGUCGGGUGCGUGUUAUAGAGCGAAAAAUAUGGUAGUUGUAGCUGCUGAGAGUUGAAAUAAAGUUCCUUGCUAGAAGAGAAAGGAAAACAAUACUGCAGGGCAGAUAAGGAAGAGAAAAAGUCACAGGACAAAGAACAAGUGUGUGCCGAUGAAACAUACGCAUAAUCAAACUAAGUUGCAAUAGUCCUGAUGACGUUUACCUAUAUGGUACAGGAAUUGUCAGUGUAAUGCAGCCUUACAAAGAGCUGCUCUACAUUGUGUUAACAGGAGCUAUAUUUCCAAGACUUGAAAACUAGGCUAUGCUGCUGUAGUCAGCACUAAUAAGACCUCAUGUGUAGGACAAUGUUUUGUCCUUGAUGCCAUUCUUCAAGGAGAAUUGUGAACUGGGGCAGGGAGGGGGGAACUGGAGGAACAGAAAACUAUAAAUAUAAUGAAGGCAUUGUACAUAAACUGUGAAAUAGCUGAACGAACGGAAUGAGUUUAUCCUAGAGAAAACACACUUGAACCAAGAGAAUAUGGUUACCUGUUUAUGAUAACCCUGGAACAAUCUAUCUCAAGAUAGAUUUAGGAAACAGUAGGGAUAUAAUGCAUGGAUGUGAUGCGCUAACGGCUGACAAAUGUAUCGUGGCAAGAGCUUUGUAGGCAAGGGCUUCAUCAGGUGCAGGAGUUGGCCAGGGAUCUUGAAAAGGGUUCAUGUGUAGUAGAGAGGAAACAGUCACCCAACCGACAGUCAGAAAAAUACAAUACUUAAUCAAGUGAGAGUUUGUGUCACGUCACAUUGAAAUCUAAGACUAGAAAGACUUGAAUGGGACGGUCUUGUUCCUGUGGAGCCAAAAAUCCAAGUUGGAUGCCCACGAAUGCCCAGUACACCCCAAAGAGGAUUAAAUCUCUGUGAGCUGGACAAAGGUUCUUAUAACACUUACAUGGAGGAUAUAUAUUUUUAGUGUAUCAGCCAUCCCUAUACAGUCCAAAAAGAUGCAACAUCAGUUUUGCUAAUAGACUUUUAACACAGCAAUAUCCAUGUCCCCUGCUUCCAUCUAAUCCCUCCAAGCGUGUUUUAAAUGUGCUGCUGAUUUAAUAUAGGUAUUAUAACAACUGAGCAAUAGUAUACAUGGUGCCUAGGGAUGCCUUGUAAUUUCUAUCCUUGGUGGUUUCCAGGAAAAGAUUAUCAUUAGGCAGGCAACUGCUGGAAAUGUUUUAAAUAUGUGUACAUCAUUUUAAGGCCACGGAUUUGAUGAUCCAACUCUAUGGUUCUGUGGUCAGUCACUGAGAGUUUGACCCCAGAGCUUUUAUGAGGGUGGCUAAGCACAGUUGCUGGCACCACUAUCCUUAUGAAUUAAAAGUUACUUGGUAAUAGAGAUGGGCAGGUACUUAAUCUGAUUAGUUGUAAUGUUAUAUCAUGCCUUCCAGUGACUUAUAGCACUUAGAGAUUGUUAAUGGAAAGGGCUGCUGCUUAGGAAUUACAUCGUUUCUAUGAAACAAUUGCAUGGUGCGGUACAGCAUUGGCAGUGACCACUAACAAUAGCUGAAUUAAUGUGAAUAAUCUCUGUACUUUUCAGCAGUCAUCAGAAAAGUGAUAAGAUUCUCAAUGUCUGGGGUCACAGGACGCCCUAUCCCUGUAUUAAACCUCAUUAGCACUUCCAUUUCUAACUUCAAAAAAUGAUUUAGUAACUGGUUCACACUUUGAACUGGUUCAGAUACAUUCCAUAUUAUUAUUAUAUCCAGUGUGGGUUUUUUCUGGGGGGGGGGGGAAGGUGAGGAAACUCACCAGGAAGUUUGUUUGUUUAUUGCGGGCCCAGUCGCAGUGCCACCCCCCACUGCUGCCCCAGGCAGUGGCUAAAAGUAAGUUGUGAUUAAUGAACACAAGCAGGCAAUGAUCUGGAUUAGAAAUGCCCACAACUUUAUCGGUUACAGAUAUAGGUGGGUUUUUGGCUCGGGCAUUGGGUGUAUAUCCGCUCCAGCCCCACCCCACCCCAACAAAAAAAUAAUUAUUUAAUUUAAAAAAGGUAAGGGAACUCAGUUACCACAAGUUCCUGCUCAACCCCCCCCCCCCGAUUUUAUCAUAUAUCACACUUUUAUAACUGUAAUAUAAAUCCUACAAACUGAAUAUAAGGAUAAAUAUUUAUCUAAAGGAGAACUAUAAUAGUGUAUUUCCAUACAUGGCUACCCCAUCCUCCAAAAUUGUUAGAUGUUUUUGCCCACUGUUAAGGCAUUCUGUAGUGGGAACAGAAGACACUUUUAGCUCAUUUCGGGUAUAUUUAUUUUUGGGUCUCCCAGCUAAGAACAGUAAAUAUUACAGAAUAUUAAGUAUCUAGAUCGAUGACGUGGUUGCAUUUAGAAUUCCCUGUACACAUUCUGGUCACCCCACCCUCAGAAGAGAUGACAUAGUGGUGCAAAGUACCGUACAUUUCUCCGUCCUUCUCCUUGGCUACAAGGAUAACAAGAAAACCUGCCUGAACUUUGCAUGAGGAAAUAUAUGGCCGUGUGAAAUUCAUGGAGAAAAUAUUGCAGUCAGAGGCUCCCUACAUGUAAAUGCAAUAUGAGGGGGGAGGGAAGAUGAGAUUUGAGCUGUAUGGCACCCACAGAAUUUGGAGGACUGUAGAGUGGAGACCAUCUGCAACGGGGGUAGGAUAGCCUGUGGUCUUCUAGAUGUUUAAGACUCCAGCUCCCAUCAAGUACAACCAGCAGGGCAAGUGGUCAGGGAUGGUUGGAAAGGUAACCGUACAGCAUCUGGAGGGCUGCCAGAUGUACAGAGUUCUAUACUUACCAAGUCUUGGGAGAAAGUGCUGGAUUGUAUAAUUAUGACCGUCCAGAAAAAGCUAAAAUUUUCAUCGAAGAACAUUCUUCUGAACUAUGUACCUAUUGUAUGGAAGUGAACAUCAAGGCAACAAAAAUGGAUUCUACAUGCCCUAAUGGUAGCCAAGAGACUGAUAUUGAUGAAGAAUAAAGGAUAUAAUUCGCUUUAAUAAAUGGAUUGAUAAUAUGGUAACACUCACAACUUUGGAUAAAUAGGACAAUAUUUGGAAUGACCUUAUACAAAAUGUAGUAGGCUAUUAAUAUUUAUGUAUGUAUUAGGAUAAUAAUAUCAAAAUUAUAUGAGAAUGUAUGGGUUAGGGCAUUUUUCGUGUAUUGCCUAUGUUUGUAUAUUCUUCCUUUCUACACAUUUUUGUGCCUUUUUCUCUUUCUCUUUGCAUCACUUUUAUUUCCUUAUAAUUGAAAACUUUUCAAUAAAAAAAUAUUGCUACCAAACAUCUGGAGGGAUGCAGGUUAGCCUCGACAAGAUCUGGCCAUUCUCCACUAUUUCUCGUUUGAAUUGUACACCAUCACUUCUGAUUAAUUCCUCAGUUUCAGAGAGAGGAAGGAGGGAGUUUGGGAAUACAGGAUGGCCUUUGAAGAAGAACAUGGAACUUCAAUUUCCUUACACACAUCCACACAACUUAGGUGAUAUGCUGAAUUCAAGCGACAAUCUAUAUGCUUGCCUUCAGUUUAACAAGCUCUACCUCAUGCUCCCAGGGUUCCUCACCCUUAUUGUUUUUUUCUGUGAUUUUGCCUCCUUUUGAGGAAAAGUCUUUAUACUUCUGGAAGAAGCACAAGGGAAGCUCUACACAGAGCAUAUUGCAGUAAUCCUAUAGUGCUUAAUGCAAGGUAAGAGAGAUAAUGCAUGAUAAGUGAAAUGCUGCUGCUGCUGCUGACUUUUACUUAAAAAUAAUAAAAAUAGCUCUGAUGGAGACUCUUAUCAACCAGCCUAAAAUUAUGGCAACUGGUCCAGAUAUAUCUAUAUCUAUAUAUAUAUAUUUAAAUGGCCUCCUUAUAUGCCCCCCCCCCGCCAUAGCCAGUUAGUAACUCUGCCUCAUAUUCCUUAGAGGGGUGGCCCUAUUUAGAUCCAAAUGGAAUUUUCAAGCCACAUGUAAAUUAGACUAUCAGAGACUAUUCUAAAUUAUAUUAAUAGGAUACUGUCAUUUCUCCAUAGAAGGAUUAACAUCUAGGUGGCACUGUAGCACAGAAGUCAAUUUCAGCAGGCUCCUGGGGGUUAUAAUUAAUAUCCAGAGCUAAAAAUAAGUAAAAAAGUGCAAAGUAGCAAUUAUAAUUAUAACUUUUUAUAAGUGACAGAAGAGUGACAAAGGCAACAUUGUAUGUGGAAAGCUGCCUCUUCUUCAAGUAGUACUUCUAUUUAAUUAGGGGGGGAAACACUAAAAUGCGAAAAAACCUAAGAGAAUGAACAUUUUGAACAUUUUGUCUGGGUUAACAUGGUAUUUUUUUUAAAAAAGUAUUGCCUCGCCUAUCUUUUUCUCACAUCACUUCUUAACUUUUAUAUAUGUAAAAAUAUGUAUAUAACCUCACUCACCCUCUGUCAGAAGCACUCGGAUCUGAUCCCAACAAGUUACCGGUAAAUAUAUAUAUAAGCUGGGAGCAAAAGGGAGAGAGAGAACUACCACCAUAAAAAUAAUAAAUAGAAAUAAUAGAAUAGAAUAGAAAUACUUUAUUGUAAAUCCAGUUCUUUAUUAUAAAUCCAGUUCUUACAGCAUUUUUGGAAGAUGCUAAGACCCAGAUUUCUAUGAGUUCCUGUGAGAGUUUCUUUGAUGAUUGGGAAACCACCAAAAUCACCUCUAGUUCUGUUUUUCAUUUAAGAAAUUAUUUUUAUUACCCAAGGAAGUAUAUUUUACUUCUCUAGUUCUCUAGUUGUGCUUGUUCUCUUUGGACAUGGUGCAUGUGUGAUGCAGUCAAAAUUGUGUUUCCAGGUGUCCUAAAAGAGUGUGGUGGAAUAUUAAAGAUGUGUCCUCCAAAAUUCAUGUGUUUUGCCUAUUCUGAAAGACACACUUUGUUUUGGUCUGUUUUUAGUCGUUUAUUUUGAAACAACAAAACUCAUGUAUUUUGGGUAUGUGUUAAGAAUGCCAUACCUUUUCAAUCACGACAAUAAAUAAUAGAUAUGCAUAAUCUUAAUUUAUCUGGUUGGUUGGUUGGUUGGUUGUAAGUUGCUUUGGGUUGCCCUGGGUAAGAUAAAGCACUAAGAAACUAACAACCACAAUAGUGAUGAUGAUGAUGAUGCCGCCACAUUUCAGCACCCCUCCAUAACACCCUGCACUCCCUCUAAAUUUGAGAAAGUGCUGCUAGGGGAGGGUGGGUUGAUCAAAAUCACCUCCACCUGCAUUCUGCUAGUAGAUUCUUACCCAUAACAAUAGAAAGUAACAUGCUUUGUGCCAGUACAGGAGAGGGCAUGGAUUUAAUAAAUCGUUUUCCUAAUGAAGAGCUUCUCAGGCUUGUAGAAGGUUUUACUGAAUAAAUUGACACCUUCAGGGUUUUUGACAGUAUGAAAGCACGUAGUACCCUUUUGUUUUUUCCAUCGCAUGUUGCUGUAUUGGGUGUUGAACCAUCUGAAGUGACUGAGCAGCAUUUACACGUAGUACUUAGACAUGAUGGCGGAAACUCAACCUCUCCACCCUCAGUGCUGCUACUCCAGAAAAAUAAUACAGAACCCACGCAAUCUCCCAUGCUGCAGAAAAGCAAAAGUGUAAAUGUUGGGAGAUCUGAUCAUGGAUAUAAUACCAUGUGGUUUGGUCCUGGAGCAGCAGUUUUUUAAAGGUGGUUAUUAACUUUCAGAUCAUUUUGUAUUAUGUGAACUUGUACAGAGGGAGAUUAAUAAAGUUAUGAGGAAUGAAGCGGAGAAAGGGAACAACAUUUUUUUCAUCCAUUGGCUUUAGUAGAUUGCUGAUUGCAUUAAGCAACUAUAUGCACAUCCGAAAUUUAAGGAAGAAAUGAAAGUGGGAGGCGGAAGGAGAGAAAUGGGAAUAUUGUAUUGAGAAGUUUUAUACUGGAAGAAAUAUAAAAACUCUCCCUAAUAAGAAGAGAUAACUACUGGAACAAGAAAAUGAAGAUUGUUCCCAAUAAUUGAAUACUAACAGUUUUUAUUUGCCAUUGAGCCACAGCCUGUGUCACAUAUAUUUGCUGGAACAGCAGUCUAUGAAGAACUGUGAGAAGCACUGCCUAUAUUUACUUUUUUAUAUUAUACAUUUUUAUUAUAAUAAUUAUUAGCAGAACGGAAUAGAAUAGUACAUACUGCAUAAUAAAAAAACAGGUUUAUGAAAGAAAAUGCUGACUUGAAGUACUUUUAUAUUUGGUUUCUGACCUCGUUCCUUUGUUCCUUUCUUUCCCCCUCCCUUUUGUGUAGGUAUGAAACACCCGGCAAGUCCUGACCACAUAUUUGGAGAUGGAAUUAUGAAUCAAUCUGCAUUUCUGAGGGGCUUUGAAGAUAAAGGACUAAGACACGACAGGGCUGACUGUCAAUUAAGUAAAGAGAAAAAGAAGAUACUGUUUUCCUUCUGUGAUGUGUGCAAUAUACAGUUGAACUCAGCAGCGCAAGCUCAGGUUCAUUACAAUGGAAAGUCUCAUCUGAAAAGAGUAAAACAGCUGAAUAAUGGGAAGCUACCUGCAAACACGAACACAGGCAAUUUGUUUGCAGGUGCCAGCACAGGUACAUUUUUUCAUUAUAUGAGAGAGAGAGAGAGAGAGAGAGAGAGAGAGAGGGAGAGAGAAAGAAAGAAAGAAAGAGAUAUCUUAUGUUUGAUCUAAAGUGUCAGAGACAUUAAGCCUCCCACCCUUUCGUUUGCUCCCUGUAGUGCCAGCCUUGGAAGAAAGCUUUAAUUUAUUUCUUUGAGUAUUGUAUUGUACUGUACUCUAGACCAAGGGUAGUCAACCUGGUCCCUACCGCCCACUAGUGAGCGUUUCAGGAUUCCAGGUGGGCAGUAGGGAGUUCAUGUUACUGCAGCACUGGUGGGCGGUAAGGAAAU